rnacentral:rRNA from 1 species
UACGUAGGGUCCGAGCGUUGUCCGGAAUUAUUGGGCGUAAAGGGCUCGUAGGCGGUUUGUUGCGUCGGGAGUGAAAACCUCGGGCUUAACUCGGGGCUUGCUUUCGAUACGGGCAGACUUGAGGCAUUCAGGGGAGAACGGAAUUUCUGGUGUAGCGGUGAAAUGCGUAGAUAUCGUCUGGAACGCCGAAGGUGAAAACAGCUCGCUGGGGCCGCGCUGACGCUGAGACACGAAAGCCAGGGGAGCGAACGGG